rnacentral:lncRNA from 1 species
CAGGCCUGCAUAUUGAUGCCCUGGAAAUGUUGCCAAGCGACAAACAUCUGGUUAGACUAGCCAGCCAGCUUGAUAUUGACAGAUGUAAAAAAUUGGUCCUUCAACUCGGGUUGCAAGAAAAACAUUGGAAAAAUGUAAAUCACGCGUACGGCCAUGAUACUCUGACACUAAAUACCAUGGCGUUAUAUACCUGGAUGAAUACAAAGAUAAAAGAACAAUCAACAACGUAAUCAUUAAAUAAUUUGCACGCAGGACUGAAAGCAAUUGGUGCUGAUACGCAUGUGCUUUGCAAGGUUUGUACUUUUUACAAUUUAUUUAAAUUUUUGAACUUUGUUUUUCACACGGGGGUCUCAACAUGGAUUUUUGGGCAGCUGGGAUUUCAAAAACACGUCCCAUUCAUAUAGUGUAGUCUUGUGAAAUCCUGAUCUGUAACAAAUUUUCAUAGCGGAAUCAUAACCCAUUCAUAUAUCCCUCAGUUAUCACAUAUUAUUUUUUUUGACUUGAUUUUAAACGAUAAAAAAAAACAUUUAUAUUAAUUGAAAGAUGAAAAUUAUUGACCCAUUGACAAAUUACUUUUGUGAAAUUGCAACCCAUUGAUAUAUUUGAUGUGUCAAAAAGGGACCUUUCCCGCGGCACAUCUGUUUACACCUUCAUAUAGAACACCCUCCCCCCCCCCCCCCCCCCCCCCCCCCGUUGGUUUUCAAGAGUUGGUUUACAAGUGAAAUUUAUAUAUGGCGUUUUGUUCGCUCUGAAAUAGCUGGGAGGUAUAUACUUCAUAUACAGGCGCUGCUGCAAUUUUGCUACAUCACAAUGUAAAGGUCACAGUUUGGAAGCCAAAGUCAUCGAUUCAUAAGAUAUAUAUUUUUUUAUGAUUAACUGAAUUUUUUGGAACUUUUAAUAUGGUUGAUAAAAAAGAAGAGAAAAAGAUAGUAAAUAAUCUUUAUUUAGUACAUUUUUCUAGUACACAUUUGUUCAUUUGAAUUCAUGUUAGAAUUAUAUAAGGUUACUUCGGUCUAUUGUGGUUUGGUGUACCACUGAACUUGUAAAUAGUACACAAUAUUAAAAAGUAGUCUUUUUGCGUAAAUUGCAGAAACUGAAUUGCUUACAAGGCGAUUUUUGAUAUAAACCAUAUUUAGUUUUGCCCUUGUGUUUAUUUAUUAUUUACUGUUAAAAAAAUUUUGUCUCAAUUUUAAUUUUAGAUAUUCAGAGAAUACACAGAUUUUUCUG